UACGUAGGGGCCGAGCGUUGUCCGGAUUUAUUGGGCGUAAAGCGCGCGCAGGCGGCUUGGCGCGCCCGACGUGAAAGCCCCCGGCUUAACCGGGGAGAGUCGUCGGGGACGGCCGGGCUUGAGGGCGGGAGAGGGUGGUGGAAUUCCCGGUGUAGUGGUGAAAUGCGUAGAGAUCGGGAGGAACACCUGUGGCGAAGGCGGCCACCUGGGCCGACCCUGACGCUGAGGCGCGAAGGCGUGGGGAGCGAACAGG
rnacentral:rRNA from 1 species